AGUGAACGCUGGCGGUAGGCCUAACGCAUGCAAGUCGAACGGCAGCACAGGAGAGCUUGCUCUCUGGGUGGCGAGUGGCGGACGGGUGAGGAAUACAUCGGAAUCUACUCUGUCGUGGGGGAUAACGUAGGGAAACUUACGCUAAUACCGCAUACGACCUACGGGUGAAAGCAGGGGACCUUCGGGCCUUGCGCGAUUGAAUGAGCCGAUGUCGGAUUAGCUAGUUGGCGGGGUAAAGGCCCACCAAGGCGACGAUCCGUAGCUGGUCUGAGAGGAUGAUCAGCCACACUGGAACUGAGACACGGUCCAGACUCCCACGGGAGGCAGCAGUGGGGAAUAUUGGACAAUGGGCGCAAGCCUGAUCCAGCCAUACCGCGUGGGUGAAGAAGGCCUUCGGGUUGUAAAGCCCUUUUGUUGGGAAAGAAAUCCAGCUGGCUAAUACCCGGUUGGGAUGACGGUACCCAAAGAAUAAGCACCGGCUAACUUCGUGCCAGCAGCCGCCGUAA
rnacentral:rRNA from 1 species